UACGUAGGGUGCGAGCGUUGUCCGGAAUUAUUGGGCGUAAAGGGCUCGUAGGCGGUUUGUCGCGUCGGGAGUGAAAACCAGGUGCUUAACACCUGGCUUGCUUUCGAUACGGGCAGACUAGAGGUAUUCAGGGGAGAACGGAAUUCCUGGUGUAGCGGUGAAAUGCGCAGAUAUCAGGAGGAACACCGAUGGCGAAGGCAGAUCUCUGGGCCGUAACUGACGCUGAGGAGCGAAAGCGUGGGGAGCGAACAGG
rnacentral:rRNA from 1 species